rnacentral:rRNA from 1 species
AGAGUUUGAUCCUGGCUCAGAACGAACGCUGGCGGCGUGCUUAACACAUGCAAGUCGUACGAGAAACCGGAACUUCGGUUCUGGGAGUAAAGUGGCGCACGGGUGAGUAACGCGUAGGUAAUCUACCCUUGGGUUUGGAAUAACCCGCCGAAAGGCGGACUAAUACCGGAUAAAAUCUUUCGGAGGGAUCUGAAAGAUCAAAGGUGGCCUCUCCAUGGAUGCUACUGCCUGAGGAUGAGCCUGCGUCCCAUUAGCUUGUUGGUAGGGUAAUGGCCUACCAAGGCUACGAUGGGUAGCUGGUCUGAGAGGAUGAUCAGUCACACUGGAACUGGAACACGGUCCAGACUCCUACGGGAGGCAGCAGUGAGGAAUAUUGCGCAAUGGGGGAAACCCUGACGCAGCGACGCCGCGUGGGUGAAGAAGGCCUUCGGGUCGUAAAGCCCUGUCUAGAGGGAAGAAAUUCUCAAUGGAAUAAUACCCAUUGAGAUUGACGGUACCUCUGGAGGAAGCACCGGCUAACUCCGUGCCAGCAGCCGCGGUAAUACGGAGGGUGCGAGCGUUGUUCGGAAUUACUGGGCGUAAAGCGGGUGUAGGCGGUUUGUUAAGUCAGAUGUGAAAGCCCACGGCUCAACCGUGGAAGUGCAUCUGAAACUGGCUGACUUGAGUACCGGAGAGGGAAGUGGAAUUCCUGGUGUAGGGGUGAAAUCCGUAGAUAUCAGGAGGAACACCGGUGGCGAAGGCGACUUCCUGGACGGAUACUGACGCUGAGAUCCGAAAGCGUGGGGAGCAAACAGGAUUAGAUACCCUGGUAGUCCACGCCCUAAACGAUGGGCACUAGGUGCAGGGGGUGUUGACCCCUCCUGUGCCGCAGCUAACGCAUUAAGUGCCCCGCCUGGGGAGUACGGUCGCAAGAUUGAAACUCAAAGGAAUUGACGGGGGCCCGCACAAGCGGAGGAACAUGUGGUUUAAUUCGAUGAUACGCGAGGAACCUUACCUGGGCUUAAAUGCAGAACGACGUACCGGGAAACUGGUAUUCCCUUCGGGGCGAACUGCAAGGUGCUGCAUGGCUGUCGUCAGCUCGUGCCGUGAGGUGUCGGGUUAAGUCCCAUAACGAGCGCAACCCCUAUCGUUAGUUGCCAGCGGAUAAUGCCGGGGACUCUAACGAAACUGCCAGUGUAAACUGUGAGAAAGGUGGGGAUGACGUCAAGUCAGCACGGCCCUUAUGUCCAGGGCUACACACGUGUUACAAUGGCUGGUACAGCGAGGAGCAAUACCGCGAGGUGGAGCAAAUCUCUCAAAACCAGUCUCAGUUCGGAUUGCAGUCUGCAACUCGACUGCAUGAAGUCGGAAUCGCCAGUAAUCACGGAUCAGCAUGCCGUGGUGAAUACGUUCCCGGGCCUUGUACACACCGCCCGUCACGCCAUGGAAGUCGGUAGCACCCGAAGCCAGUGGCCUAAUCCCGACACUUGUGUCGGGAAAGGAGCUGUCGAAGGUGAGAUCGAUGACUGGGGCGAAGUCGUAACAAGGUAACC